rnacentral:rRNA from 1 species
AUUGAACGCUGGCGGCAGGCUUAACACAUGCAAGUCGAGCGGAGAUGAGGUGCUUGCACCUUAUCUUAGCGGCGGACGGGUGAGUAAUGCUUAGGAAUCUGCCUAUUAGUGGGGGACAACAUUCCGAAAGGGAUGCUAAUACCGCAUACGUCCUACGGGAGAAAGCAGGGGAUCUUCGGACCUUGCGCUAAUAGAUGAGCCUAAGUCGGAUUAGCUAGUUGGUGGGGUAAAGGCCUACCAAGGCGACGAUCUGUAGCGGGUCUGAGAGGAUGAUCCGCCACACUGGGACUGAGACACGGCCCAGACUCCUACGGGAGGCAGCAGUGGGGAAUAUUGGACAAUGGGGGGAACCCUGAUCCAGCCAUGCCGCGUGUGUGAAGAAGGCCUUAUGGUUGUAAAGCACUUUAAGCGAGGAGGAGGCUACUGAGACUAAUACUCCUGGAUAAG